UCAAAAUAAAAUCCAUCCUCCCGAAGCACGAGCUCUGACUCUGUCCGCGAGGAAAAACAUAUCCGUCCGUGACAGCACUAUAAUACCGUCCACAAAAACCAAGAACAUCUUUCUUUCCUCUCUCCCUCUUGCUUCAUCUCGUUGGCAAAUGUCUAGAAAGCCCCGACUCCACUCACGGAAAGUGGGGUGACGCGCGCAAUCGUUGUAUGGCCAGACCGGGGCUCCGGUUUUUUCUUCGUGCCAUAACACUGUAUUAUGCGCCCUGCUCACGUGACACAACGUCAACUUAAAUCGCUUUUAUUUGAGCCUGUGAAUCAUUAAUGGAGGCAGUCAUUGCCCCUGAGGAGAAACGGAUCACUUUGGAGGGAGGAUAAAGAGGGUGGAUGACACUGCAAUGUAUCUGGCAAAGGGACAUAUAUCUCGCAAUGCCACUCUACAUUCACACAACUCGUCCGAUUCCAAAGCGUGUGUGUUCGGUCGGUUUUGAAGGCUUUCGAGUGGCGCAGAGGUUUAAGGCACUGCAACUCAGUGCUAGAAGUUUCACUACAGACUAUGGUUCGAUCCCGGGCUGUCUCACAACCGGCCGUGAUCGGGAGUCUCAAGGAGCGGCGCACAAUUGCCCCAGCGUCGUCCGGGUUAUGGAGGGUUUGACCGGGAUAGGCCAUCAUGUUCGGCCAGAUUUGCAUACCACUCCACCAGCCCCGAGAGCACGUGCAUUGCAACACCGGAGAGCGUCUGGGGCUGAGCUGACUGUGGACGGAAAACAGACCCUUUCUCCCACGCCACCUUUCGCCACCGCGCCUGAACUUUUCCCUGACCCAAACCGAGGCGCGGAGAGUUGAGUGUGAACAUAUUUUGGUUGAAAAACAAGGAGUAGACGGAGACUACAUAACCAAUAAGAGCUAUACCUUCCUUUUCAGCUGGGAACGUUUUGGAUCCUUGUUUUUAACGGGCUCUUGUUGGUUUCAGCAGUUGAUUAGCCUAUUUCUUGGUUUGUAUGUAUACAUAUAUUAAAAUUAGUAACAUAAAGCUGGUAACCUAAAUCCAACUUCCAACAUUUACCAGCCUUGAGCCGUAGACUUGAGCCGUAGACAGUCCUCUCCACACCGCUCCGUCAUUGGAUGUUCGCCAGACUGCGGUGCAUCUCUCCACAAUGUUGACAUUUGAAGCUCUUAACAGCGAGCCUUGGGUUACCGAUACACUCAGCAGAAUAUAACUCUUUCUCUGAGGUUUACAUCGGCCAACAUCAAGGCUAAUGCGAAAUUCAACGCCCUAAACUGGUUUGGCGUGCAUGCUAAAACAGAGAAGCCUCGGUGGAUCUCGCUAUACUCUCCAUAACGGACUGACUUCUGUUGUGGUGGUUUGUUUCAGUAUGUGCUGUAGAAAUAAAAUUGUAGUGGUAAUAA